CCUACGGGUGGCAGCAGUGGGGAAUAUUGGACAAUGGGCGAAAGCCUGAUCCAGCCAUGCCGCGUGUGUGAAGAAGGCCUUCUGGUUGUAAAGCACUUUCAGUGGGGAAGAAAGCCUUGGGGCUAAUACCCUCGAGGAAGGACAUCACCCACAGAAGAAGCACCGGCUAACUCCGUGCCAGCAGCCGCGGUAAUACGGAGGGUGCGAGCGUUAAUCGGAAUUACUGGGCGUAAAGCGCGCGUAGGCGGUCUGAUAAGCCGGUUGUGAAAGCCCCGGGCUCAACCUGGGAACGGCAUCCGGAACUGUCAGGCUAGAGUGCAGGAGAGGAAGGUAGAAUUCCCGGUGUAGCGGUGAAAUGCGUAGAGAUCGGGAGGAAUACCAGUGGCGAAGGCGGCCUUCUGGACUGACACUGACGCUGAGGUGCGAAAGCGUGGGUAGCAAACAGGAUUAGAUACCCCGGUAGU
rnacentral:rRNA from 1 species